UGGGGAAUAUUGCACAAUGGGCGCAAGCCUGAUGCAGCAACGCCGCGUGAACGAUGAAGGUCUUCGGAUCGUAAAGUUCUGUUGCAGGGGAAGAUAAUGACGGUACCCUGUGAGGAAGCCCCGGCUAACUACGUGCCAGCAGCCGCGGUAAUACGUAGGGGGCUAGCGUUAUCCGGAUUUACUGGGCGUAAAGGGUGCGUAGGUGGUCUUUCAAGUCGGUGGUUAAAGGCUACGGCUCAACCGUAGUUAGCCUCCGAAACUGGAAGACUUGAGUGCAGGAGAGGAAAGUGGAAUUCCUAGUGUAGCGGUGAAAUGCGUAGAGAUUAGGAGGAACACCGGUGGCGAAAGCGGCUUUUUGGCCUGCAACUGACACUGAGGCGCGAAAGCGUGGGGAGCAAACAGG
rnacentral:rRNA from 1 species